GAUGAAGAACGUAGCGAAAUGCGAUAAGUAAUGUGAAUUGCAGAAUUCAGUGAAUCAUCGAAUCUUUGAACGCACAUUGCGCCCGCCAGUAUUCUGGCGGGCAUGCCUGUUCGAGCGUCAUUUCAACCAUCAAGCCCCAGGCUUGUGUUGGGGACCUGCGGCUGCCGCAGGCCCUGAAAAUCAGUGGCGGGCUCGCUAGUCACUCCGAGCGUAGUAAUACAUCUCGCUCUGGACGUGCUUCGUGCUCCGGCCGUUAAACACCCUAUUUACCCAAGGUUGACCUCGGAUCAGGUAGGAAGACCCGCUGAACUUAAGCAUAUCAAUAAGCGGAGGA
rnacentral:misc_RNA from 1 species